CGAACGCUGGCGGCGUGCUUAACACAUGCAAGUCGAACGAGAAAGCUUCUUUCGGGAAGUGAGUAGAGUGGCGCACGGGUGAGUAACGCGUAGGUAAUCUACCCUUAUAUUUGGGAUAACAUUGGGAAACUGGUGCUAAUACCGAAUGGUCUUCAUUGCUUUGGGGCGAUGGAGUAAAGGUGGCCUCUUCAUGAAAGCUACCGUGUAGGGAUGAGCCUGCGUACCAUUAGCUAGUAGGUGGGGUAAUGGCCCACCUAGGCUACGAUGGUUAGCGGGUCUGAGAGGAUGAUCCGCCACACUGGAACUGGAACACGGACCAGACUCCUACGGGAGGCAGCAGUGAGGAAUAUUGCGCAAUGGGGGAAACCCUGACGCAGCGACGCCGCGUGAGUGAGGAAGGUUUUCGGAUCGUAAAGCUCUGUCAGAAGGGAAGAAGUGUUAUAUGGUUAAUACCCAUAUAAUUUGACGGUACCUUCAGAGGAAGCACCGGCUAACUCC
rnacentral:rRNA from 1 species